AAACAUGUUCUUGAGUUGAAACUGUGAA
rnacentral:sRNA from 1 species